rnacentral:rRNA from 1 species
AAUUUUGGACAAUGGGGGCAACCCUGAUCCAGCCAUCCCGCGUGUAUGAUGAAGGCCAUCGGGUUGUAAAGUACUUUUGGCAGAGAAGAAAAGGUAGAUCCUACUACGAGAUACUGCUGACGGUCACUGCUGAAUAAGCACCGGAUCACUACGUGCCAGCCGCAGCGGUAAUACGUAGGGUGCAAGCGUUAAUCGGAAUUACUGGGCGUAAAGCGUGUGUAGGCGGUUCGGAAAGAAAGAUGUUAAAUCCCAGGGCUCAACCUUGGAACUGCAUUUUUAACUGCCGAGCUAGAGUAUGUCAGAGGGGGGUAGAAUUCCACGUGUAGCAGUGAAAUGCGUAGAUAUGUGGAGGAAUACCGAUGGCGAAGGCAGCCCCCUGGGAUAAUACUGACGCUCAGACACGAAAGCGUGGGGAGCAAACA